AUUGAACGCUGGCGGAAUGCUUUACACAUGCAAGUCGAACGGCAGCACGGGGGCAGCCCUGGUGGCGUGUGGCGAACGGGUGAGUAAUACAUCGGAACGUGCCCGGUCGUGGGGGAUAACGUAGCGAAAGUUACGCUAAUACCGCAUACGAUCUGAGGAUGAAAGCGGGGGACCUUCGGGCCUCGCGCGAUCGGAGCGGCCGAUGUCAGAUUAGGUAGUUGGUGGGGUAAAGGCCUACCAAGCCGACGAUCUGUAGCUGGUCUGAGAGGACGACCAGCCACACUGGGACUGAGACACGGCCCAGACUCCUACGGGAGGCAGCAGUGGGGAAUUUUGGACAAUGGGCGCAAGCCUGAUCCAGCCAUUCCGCGUGCAGGACGAAGGCCUUCGGGUUGUAAACUGCUUUUGUACGGAACGAAAAGGCUCUGGCUAAUACCUGGGGCUCAUGACGGUACCGUAAGAAUAAGCACCGGCUAACUACGUG
rnacentral:rRNA from 1 species